GACGAACGCUGGCGGCGUGCUUAACACAUGCAAGUCGAACGGAAAGGCCCUGCUUUUGUGGGGUGCUCGAGUGGCGAACGGGUGAGUAACACGUGAGUAACCUGCCCUUGACUUUGGGAUAACUUCAGGAAACUGGGGCUAAUACCGGAUAGGAGCUCCUGCUGCAUGGUGGGGGUUGGAAAGUUUCGGCGGUUGGGGAUGGACUCGCGGCUUAUCAGCUUGUUGGUGGGGUAGUGGCUUACCAAGGCUUUGACGGGUAGCCGGCCUGAGAGGGUGACCGGCCACAUUGGGACUGAGGUACGGCCCAGACUCCUACGGGAGGCAGCAGGGGGGAAUAUUGCACAAUGGGCCGAAGCCUGAUGCAGCAACGCCGCGUGCGGGAUGACGGCCUUCGGGUUGUAAACCGCUUUCGCCUGUGACGAAGCGUGAGUGACGGUAAUGGGUAAAGAAGCACCGGCUAACUACGUG
rnacentral:rRNA from 1 species